GGGGCUAUUUUGGUUUUGACAGCAGGUAGAAUGGAUGUGUAAGCACGCCGGAAAUGAGCACUGUCCGUGAUAAGGCUCAAAACAAUUAACUGGCAACAUGAAUGUAGCUCUCGCUGCCUGAUCGAAGUACAGUAGAUCAGUUUUAUUUCGGCACCAGGUGCUGAAACGAGACGUCCCUCCGAGCCAUGCUGUAGGCUGACGGAUUCAGGGGCGCGGAAAUGUACAGCUAACCGAUGCAUUGCUUCGCUGCAUAGGCGACAACUUAGAAGCUAAGUCUAUGGUUGGUGGCUUGGGUCUUGCCAUAGGUCGAAAACGAAGGCCAAGAUAAGCGUGUAGAAAGCAUAUGUGUUCCUUGUUUGGACGCGGGUUCAAGUCCCGCUAGCUCCAC
rnacentral:tmRNA from 1 species